UGUCAUUUUCUGUACCUCUGUUCUGUAGUUAGCAGGCUUACUGUUGAAUAUUUAAGGCUUUUCUUUCCCUUUAUUAGUCUACAAAGCUUUUCAUGAACAACCUUGCUGCUCCCCAAGCUCAGAAACAGAUGUAGUUGACUUCGAAUUAGUCACCAGCAGUGCUUUAUAAGUGUGAGGCACUGCUGACACAGCCGACUCACACUUCAGCUGGCUGUUUUUACACUACACAUUCGGUGAAAGGGCACAAGCCCAUUUUCCCCAUGAAAACAUAUAUUUAUACACUCUAUGUACUGUAUAGUAUGUUGAUUGUCUUUGCAGGAGUAAUUACACAUUGCACGACUUGUAUUGUACUUUAAAUAUGUUGUACUUCUGUGUUUUUUGUGUGUAGAAACCCAGCGACAGUUCUGGGAUUCCUUGACUCAAUUAUUUUUCUCAUCUCCUGCAAUUAUACGACAAUCUGGUAUACUCCUUGUGGAGGAAGCAGUUGCAGGUGUAUGGAUGUACGCAUCUAAAGCUCUAGUUAGUUGUCAUUAGGGGUAUUAUUGUAUGAAUGCGUAAAGCUUCAUUCAGCUGCCAGAAACCUUUCCACAAAGAGAGUGCGUUACAUUUCACCGCAGCUAAGCAGUGACGAAACUGCUAGGAAGUAUAUAUAAAUUAGAGAACUCUGGACUUUUGGCCAAUUAGCCUUUUCCCUCUCCUAAAGUUUUCUUCACAGCUUCCAGUCUGCCUAACAAUCAAAUCCCUUGCACAAAUGAGCCGACCACCUAAAUCCAUAUUAUGCUGUCGACCUUCUUUUUAUCCCCCUAAAUACCACCCAAUCAGCUUCAAGGUUUUCCUAGUUAUAUUAUUUGUUCAUUACGAGAAGGUUUCUCAUUCCUCACCUAAAUUAAAGUAAAUAGUGCAAGGGUGGCACUGCACUCGUUCUUCCUUUCCUUUUAUUAAUGUCAUUGAUUGGACUCUAUUUGGAGAGAAGGCGACUGAAAACCGAAUGAAAAUGUUAAAAGUCUCGUUCAGACAAAGAGUGAGUGUGGUCGCUUCAGAGAAGACUUCUUCAAUAUCCGCAGUCAUUACACGGAUGGUUGUGGACUGCAUAAAACAAUCAGCAUACCCAGAAAGGAAACAUUUCAUAAAUCUAUACAUACUCUUAAUCAGAAAUUAAUCAAAGUUUGCGGGGAAUCUUACAUCGCUUUCACAGACUUCGGGUUCCCUCUCAGAUGUGAAUGAACUUGCAUCACACGCUCAUGGCUAGAUUAUUGGUUUCUGCCCAAUGAAUUUUAUGUUUGAUACCUCAACUUGACAUUCCUGCUAGGCACUAACACCACAGUGCUCACAGAUGAAAGCAGCGGCAAUGGAAGGCAUCAAACAUGAGGUGUGUUCGCUGUGCUGUUUGCUCACCCAUUCUUCACCUUUCAUCCGCCGAGAGCAUGAGCGCUGAGGUCAGGCUUUUCCACUCGGUGGGUCGGAAUCAGGUUAAUGGAACCCACACUUGUUUUAGUUUGAUAUAUUUACUCGCAAAUUGAUGGCAGGGCAUGUCCCCUAACUGCAGCAUGUUAGCGUGAACAGAUGGAGUUUGUAAAGUGAAACCAGCCAUGCGUUAUUUGCCGUUCCUCUAUGUCUGCACCUGCUCCUAUUAACCCGAGCUUUAGCUAUAUGUGUAGAGGUGGUACAUAAGCAAAGAGCAGGCAGGUUGCUCUUCAGCAGGGAAUUUCAACACACAGCAACACCUGUUGUUUUUUUUUUCUGUAAAGUUAGAGAGCCUUGCUCUAAAGUUAGCUGACAGAUGAUGUUGGAAAUAUUACUAUAUGUAUUGACCAAACUUAAAUUAGCUUGCUAUUUCUGUAAAAUUGAAAAAUUAGUUAAACUAUUAAUGCAUUGAAAAUCAUAGGUAUUAUUUACCCUUAUGAAAUGCUGCAUUUGCCACAUAUUAAACUCCAGCAGUGGCUAGAAAUGUGGGGUCUCUAUUUAUUUUCUGUAUUUUGAAGCAACAAAGUUUCCUUGUUUGUUCUAUUUUCCUUCCUCAGAAAGAAUGUGCUUGUUUUUUUGAUUAGCUGGGUGCAAUGGGCUUUUGGUGCCUUUGUUACACCGCAGUAAUUAGGCUGUCACUCAGAAACCAGAUGGCUGUUGGCUAAAAUGGGAAGUUUUCAGAUGAGACUCCCGUUUAGUCUCGUUGUUGUGGUCCCAGAAAACAUUACUAUACAUAAGCGUGAAUGCUAAGAAUAUUGUCUUCAUAUUUUCCAGUUUCCUGUCAGUGUAUCUGUUUAAAGCUCUUUAAAAAAAUAUAUAAUUUUAAGUUUAUCCCUAAAUGUUUAAAUAUUUAAAGGUAUAAUUUCAGAAACCCAAGAAAUGAGAAAAACAACAAUACCUUGUAUUACAACUAUACAUGAUUGAGUGAAUGACUAACAGGUCCUUAACCAACCACAAAAAUAUCCCACCACAUUUUUACCACUGACCACUCCACUGGUGUGGAUCUGAGGCGGAUGUUCAGGUUGUUGUUUACCUUUUAAAUUAACUGACAUAGCAUCUUGCUCGUCUCUGUCUUUCCCAAACAGAUUGUGUUUGAAGGAAUCCGAGGCGCAGGCUUUGAGGGAGAUAUCGCCAUUGACGAUGUGUCCAUCACCAUAGGAAAGUGCAAGCAGGAGAACACGGUAGCCAACGCAGGUAAGACAGUUCUUAUUGGAGGAUCACGGUCACUCCCACUGGCCAGGUGGCUGACCUUUGGCCUCUCCUGCUCCCUCUCACUCCUCUACAGAUGAUGAGCACUUCCCACCAGAGCACCACCACUUGUCUGUACUAACAGACACUGCCCUGACUCGCGCUUUUUAAAUUCCCCUUUCUCCUCCUCCUCCUCCUCUCUGCCUCCUCUCUUGUACAUGUGUCGUCACUCGUCGCUCCUCCUCGCUCGCUGUCAUAUUCCUCCUGCCUUAUAUCGGUUCCAUUCCUAUGUCACAAAGAUCUAUCAGUUUGUCAACUUUCUGUCCUCCUCUUUCUUUGACUGUUGCAGCAUUUAUGCUCAGAGUAUAAUCAUCUGACUCACAAUCUGUAUUAAGGGUUGACAUACUUGUAGAAGAGUAAAUCUUUCACCUCAAACACUAUGAUAGGAACACCUUAUUCAUAUUAGUGUCUCUUUCUUGCCUUUCUCUGUGCUUCAUCAGCCUUGUUUGUCCAUGUGCAUCCUGUUUGUAACCAUCCACCCUCCCCUCCAACCACCGUAUCCCACACUCCUGGCGCCCUAUUUCCAGACACAGCAAAGUGUCGGACACGCUACCAAAGAUGACAAAGAACCUGAGGGAAUAAAACGAAAAACAGGGAUUCCAAAAAGAAAAGUGAGAAAAGAAGCAGGAGAAUAUAAAAAAAAGGGAUUUUUUUUUUUUUUUUUUUUACAAAGACUGCCAUCUUUUUGCAUCGUUCUUUGGGGUAGUUGGAAACUACUGACAAAGAGAUGAAGAACCACAUGAAUGAAUCAAGCAAAAAUAAUUGCUUGUGGAAAAAGGACGCAUAUAAAGAGGAUGAUGAAAGCUGGAUGCCCCGAGUAGCCUCUCUGCUUGCCACAAAAGACAAACCUCAGUGCGGACUAUACGUGUACAUUUACCUCUCUAUAUACAUACAUAUAUAUAUCUAUAUAUUAAAUAUAACAAAAUUUAAACUAAAAGACUACAAGGACAAUGGAGGACUGUAGUAAGUAAAAUUAAAGAAGCACAAUGUUUAUACUACUCUGUUGUACCUUUGAGUUUUAUUUCACUUCCUAUGUGAUGUUGCAGUCAAAUCUUUUCAAUGUUUUUGAUAUUUUGGAGGGUUUUUUUGUUUCGCCAUAUUAAGGAUCAACGACAAUGAGUAAUAAAGUAUUAUUAUAUUCAUAUCUAUACGAUGUAGAGAGGAUGAUUUAUGGUCUUGAACCUGAUCUGAGCACCCAGAGGGAAUACACACAUGACUCAAGCCAUCUGGAUAGAAACCACAACCUUUUCUUUUGCACCAACACUAAAAGAUACACACCUCUAAACAUACAUUGCACAAACACACACUCAUCUAUCCUUGUUGCCUUCACCGUAAACCCUGCAGAAAGACCGCUUCUUGAAUAAAGCAAAAAAAGAAAAGAAUGGUUGACAAGAUUUUAACGACUAUAUUGAUGCACUUGUUUUUGUAAAAAAAAAAUGAACAAAUGUUUAAAUUACUAAAUAGAAGCAAAAUUCCUGAUAUAAAGAAAAUUAAAGUGUUGGAAAAAUAUUAAGAAAACCCUUUUCCCUGAUUUCUUUUUAACAUUUGAUGCUAUGUAUGGAUAUUUCACAGCAGGAUUUCUGUCUGCCAGGUGGUGUGUGUAGAUUGCUUUAGUCCGGUAGUUGUGUCUUUAGAUUAAUCAGAUUUCAUAAUUCCAUUUACAUGAUUGUUAAAUUUAAGCAAUCUGAGCGUCAUAUAUCAACCUCAAUGUGCAGAUGAACCAGUUAAUGGAGGCGUAAUCCAUCUUUUGUUUAAUGUUACUUAAAUUGAAUGCCGUUGUGGUUUGCUGUGCCAUGCUUCGUCUUAUCUAAAAUAACUGUCAGCUGUUAAACUUAUUUUUAAUGUGUUUCUGUAUGCUGAUCACCUUCAUUGCCAUGUAUAUUGCAUGUGAACCUGUCUGUUCGUUCCUGUACUCACUUCUUACCUGUGUCAUGUUAACAUUGAGUUGAUCAUUA